GAUGAACGCUAGCGGCAGGCCUAAUACAUGCAAGUCGAGGGGCAUCUCUAGUUUGCGGACUAGAAGCGACCGGCGCACGGGUGCGUAACGCGUAUGCAAUCUACCUUGUACAGGGGAAUAGCUUUCGGAAACGAGAAUUAAUACCCCAUAGUAGGAAGAUAACGCCUGUUAUCUUUCUUAAAGCUUCGGUGGUACAAGCGGAGCAUGCGUCCCAUUAGCUAGUAGGUGAGGUAACGGCUCACCUAGGCGAUGAUGGGUAGGGGUUCUGAGAGGAAGAUCCCCCACACUGGCACUGAGACACGGGCCAGACUCCUACGGGAGGCAGCAGUAGGGAAUAUUGGUCAAUGGGCGCAAGCCUGAACCAGCCAUGCCGCGUGCAGGAAGAAGGCCCGUAAGGUUGUAAACUGCUUUUAUAGGAGAACAAACCCCUCCGGCGGGAGGGUCUGAGGGUAUCCUAAGAAUAAGCACCGGCUAACUCCGUGCCAGCCGCCGCCGUAACAC
rnacentral:rRNA from 1 species